rnacentral:rRNA from 1 species
GACGAACCGUCCAAACGUUAUUCGGAAUCACUGGGCUUAAAGGGUGCGUAGGCUGCCCGGUAAGCUGGGUGUGAAAGCCCUCGGCUCAACCGAGGAAUGGCGCCCAAAACUGUCGGGCUCGAGGAAGAUAGAGGUGAGCGGAACUAAGGGUGGAGCGGUGAAAUGCGUUGAUAUCCUUAGGAACACCAGUAGCGAAAGCGGCUCACUGGGUCUUUUCUGACGCUGAGGCACGAAAGCUAGGGGAGCGAACGGG